GCCUAAUACAUGCAAGUCGUACGCUUCUUUUUCCACCGGAGCUUGCUCCACCGGAAAAAGAAGAGUGGCGAACGGGUGAGUAACACGUGGGUAACCUGCCCAUCAGAAGGGGAUAACACUUGGAAACAGGUGCUAAUACCGUAUAACAAUCGAAACCGCAUGGUUUUGAUUUGAAAGGCGCUUUCGGGUGUCGCUGAUGGAUGGACCCGCGGUGCAUUAGCUAGUUGGUGAGGUAACGGCUCACCAAGGCCACGAUGCAUAGCCGACCUGAGAGGGUGAUCGGCCACAUUGGGACUGAGACACGGCCCAAACUCCUACGGGAGGCAGCAGUAGGGAAUCUUCGGCAAUGGACGAAAGUCUGACCGAGCAACGCCGCGUGAGUGAAGAAGGUUUUCGGAUCGUAAAACUCUGUUGUUAGAGAAGAACAAGGAUGAGAGUAACUGUUCAUCCCUUGACGGUAUCUAACCAGAAAGCCACGGCUAACUACGUGCCAGCAGCCGCGGUAAUACGUAGGUGGCAAGCGKUGUCCGGAUUUAUUGGGCGUAAAGCGAGCGCMGGCGKUUUCUUAAGUCUGAUGUGAAAGCCCCCGGCUCAACCGGGGAGGGU
rnacentral:rRNA from 1 species